rnacentral:rRNA from 1 species
AAUGAACGUUGGCGGCGUGGAUUAGGCACGCAAGUCGAGCGUGAUCAGUUUGGUGCUUGCAUUAAACUGUGAAAGCGGCGCAAGGGAGAGUAACGCGUAGUUACCUGCCUCAGGGUUCAGAAUAGCCCCGGGAAACUCUGGGUAAUGCUGAAUAACAUCUCCGGAUCAAAGGUGCUAUUCCGCCCGUAGAGGGGACUGCGUCCUACUAGUUUGUUGGUGGGGUGAUGGCCUACCAAGACUUUGAUGGGUAGGGGGUGUGAGAGCAUGGCCCGUCUCACUGGGACUGAGACACUGCCCAGACACCUACGGGUGGCUGCAGUCGAGAAUCUUCGGCAAUGCGCGCAAGCUUGACCGAGCGACGCCGCGUGCGGGAUGAAGGCCUUCGGGUUGUAAACCGCUGUCGUAGGGGAGGAAGGCUCCAUGAAGAAUGGGGUUUGACCUAUCCUAGGAGGAAGGACGGGCUAAGUUCGUGCCAGCCGCCGCAGUAAUAC